AUUGAACGCUGGCGGCAUGCUUUACACAUGCAAGUCGAACGGUAACAGGGAGCUUGCUCCGCUGACGAGUGGCGAACGGGUGAGUAAUGCGUCGGAACGUGCCGAGUAGUGGGGGAUAACGCAUCGAAAGGUGUGCUAAUACCGCAUACGAACUGAGGUUGAAAGUGGGGGGCCUUCGGGCCUCACGCUAUUCGAGCGGCCGACGUCUGAUUAGCUAGUUGGGGAGGUAAAGGCUCACCAAGGCGACGAUCAGUAGCGGGUCUGAGAGGAUGAUCCGCCACACUGGGACUGAGACACGGCCCAGACUCCUACGGGAGGCAGCAGUGGGGAAUUUUGGACAAUGGGCGCAAGCCUGAUCCAGCCAUGCCGCGUGUCUGAAGAAGGCCUUCGGGUUGUAAAGGACUUUUGUCCGGGAGCAAAUGCUGGUGGCUAACAUCCACCGGAGCUGAGAGUACCGGAAGAAUAAGCACCGGCUAACUACGUGCCAGCCGCCGCGGUAAUAC
rnacentral:rRNA from 1 species